ensembl:lncRNA
GCACAGGGUAAAACCAGUCCAAGAGUUAGAGAGACAGUUUCCAUCUCUUGGUGGGAAGAGCCAGAAGUCCCACUGAAGAGUGUGGUGGGAUUUGCAGUCUACAGUGCUGGCCUUUUCUCAUUUCCCAUCACACAUGGUGGUCACCGCUAUACAUAUGUCUUUGCUACUGGGUGUCUCCCUCCUCUUAGGCAGCAACCACCCUGAAGAAAGGCCUCUAAGUCUGAUCCAUCUUUGUAUCUCCAGAGUUCACUUGGUACCUAGAGCACAGUCUACAGUCCAUCUGUCUCCAUCAGCACCACCUCUACCUUGGUCCAAAGCGUGGUCCACUCUCAUCCACAUCCACAACCUUCUGGCUAAUCUACCUACAGCCACUCUUGUAUCCAAACCCAAUUAUAUGAACUUCUAUACACUAUCCUCAGUUAACCGCACCCCCCCCCAGUGGUUCCCAUUUCUUUCACUACACCUUUAAUCUUUAACGUGGCACCAAGGGCCUUGUCUCCUGCCUGCCUUUCCUUCCUUCUUGUACAUCAUCCCCUCUGUCUUCUCGCCCACCCGGAGCUUCUGCAUCGCUGUCCCCUCUGUGUGCUCAGCCCCUUCCGUCUUGCUUCCAUUACUGGGUUUCCAGAUGACAGCUCAAGCACCCUUUCUUGAGUAAGCCUUUCCUAACUCCCAAGUUGGAGUCAGCUUUCCUUACGGCUGGCUCUCCCAAACCCUGACUCACUUCCUCUGAUAAGAUCUCAUUUGUGGCGCUCAUUACCACGAACCCGAGAUUGCUCUCCGACCUCCCUCCCUCCCUCCCAGGUUCCAAACUCCACUGGACUCACCACACCGUGCCAUUCAUCGCCAGCACAGUGGGGACUCUUGGGCAGGCACUCCGCAAGCCUCUGGGGAUCCGAAUAACUGUGUGAAUGGGAACUUCUAUCCAUCCCAGAUUCAUUUUAAGAAGCACAAUCAAGCCAGGCAGUGGUGGUGGAGUGUCAUGGACCUCAUGGCAUGGUGGAGUGUCAUGGACCACAUGGCAUGGUGGAGUGUCAUGGACCACAUGGCAACCAUUUCGGCUUGACAAAGCUCCAGCAUUUGACUUUGCGGAUCACAAUUCUCCAGUCCAAAAAAGUGGGGGGAGUGUUCCCAUGGAAUCUUCACCCCAGCCCCUGACAUCCUUAUACCCAAAGAAUCUGGAAUGUUCUGGUGGAAGUUCCACCCUAAACCCCUUCCUCUGUCUCUCUCUGCAAACCCUGAUGUAUCUCAGAAAGCCUGCUAAAUAAUGACCUCUGCCCCCAGAAAUGCUCAAGACCACCCCCACAAGGUCCUCUUUUUGGUUCCCCCCUGGUGCAUGUGUGACCAACCUAUAAAGCCUCAGAGGGUACCGUGUUAAGAACCAAGCAUCGCGGAACCUUGCACCAAUACUUUCUGGGAAGUUCUCGUGCGUCUCCAGGAGCCUUUACACUCUCAGUUCUCAGUUCUGGUUGGUGACAAGUGGCUUUCUCCACUGCCCUAACCCCACUCGGUGCCUAGUAAGAGAAGCUGAUGAAGUUAAUAUUUCAGCCACACUGGGGGGACAACAGGUAAGAAAUCCAAGCUAAGCAAGAGCAGGCUUAUCACGGCCC